GGCGGAAGGACCAUCUGAUGAAGACAAGUCGGGAGGACCAACUGUUGGACGAGUUACCCAAUUCCAUCCAGAGAUUGUCCUGUCUUGGAAGCAAUGUCACUGAUGAAACAUUCGGCUGACGUGGACAUGGUCAUCAAAAAGAUGAAGCUGACAUUUGCCCAUCGGCAUAACAUGGUCCUGGACCAACAGCAGUCAAGCAACAUUCUAUCUUAUUUUCCUCGUUUUAAAGACAUCAAUGGCUUGGUUGAACAGGAUUUUGUUCUAAUGUUUGGAAAGGAUUAAUCGUGCAUGUUUCUGGAGAAGUGGCCAACCACAUCCAAAAAGAAGAUCUUCCAACAAUGCAGAAAGCUUCCCUCCAUCUUUGAGCUUGAGGAACUCCUGAUGGCAGCUGACCCUCCUGAGGAUGGGGCUGAAGUGAACGUUGACUUUGGUUGGGACAGCGACCUCUCAUCAAUUUUGCUGCUCUUACACUUGAUCCCACCGACUGCUCUAGGUCGGAAGAGGCCAGGAGAAGUUUCUGCAUCCCGGGCUGACAAGCAUCUUGUGGUCUUCACAAAG